GGCUGCCUACGGGGGGCAGCAGUGAGGAAUAUUGGUCAAUGGCCGCAGGGCUGAACCAGCCAAGUCGCGUGAGGGAUGAAGGUCCUAUGGAUUGUAAACCUCUUUUGUCAGGGAGCAAAGGGCGCCACGUGUGGCGUUUUGCGAGUACAUGAAGAAAAAGCAUCGGCUAACUCCGUGCCAGCAGCCGCGGUAAUACGGAGGAUGCGAGCGUUAUCCGGAUUUAUUGGGUUUACAGGGUGCGCAGGCGGAAUGUCAAGUCAGCGGUAAAAUUUCGGGGCGCAAC
rnacentral:rRNA from 1 species